UUGAUGACGAGUGGCGGACGGGUGAGUAAAGUAUGGGGAUCUGCCGAAUGGAGGGGGACAACAGUUGGAAACGACUGCUAAUACCGCAUAAAGUUGAGAGACCAAAGCAUGGGACUUUCGGGCCAUGCGCCAUUUGAUGAACCCAUAUGGGAUUAGCUAGUUGGUAGGGUAAUGGCUUACCAAGGCGACGAUCUCUAGCUGGUCUGAGAGGAUGACCAGCCACACUGGAACUGAGACACGGUCCAGACUCCUACGGGAGGCAGCAGUGGGGAAUAUUGCACAAUGGGGGGAACCCUGAUGCAGCCAUGCCGCGUGUAUGAAGAAGGCCUUCGGGUUGUAAAGUACUUUCGGUAAUGAGGAAGGUAGCGUAUCUAAUAGGUGCGUUAAUUGACGUUAAUUACAGAAGAAGCACCGGCUAACUCCGUGCCAGCAGCCGCGGUAAUACGGAGGGUGCGAGCGUUAAUCGGAAUGACUGGGCGUAAAGGGCAUGUAGGCGGAUAAUUAAGUUAGGUGUGAAAGCCCUGGGCUCAACCUAGGAAUUGCACUUAAAACUGGUUAACUAGAGUAUUGUAGAGGAAGGUAGAAUUCCACGUGUAGCGGUGAAAUGCGUAGAGAUGUGGAGGAAUACCGGUGGCGAAGGCGGCCUUCUGGACAGAUACUGACGCUGAGAUGCGAAAGCGUGGGGAGCAAACAGGAUUAGAUACCCUGGUAGUCCACGCUGUAAACGAUGUCGAUUUGGAGUUUGUUGCCCUGAGUGAUGGGCUCCGAAGCUAACGCGAUAAAUCGACCGCCUGGGGAGUACGGCCGCAAGGUUAAAACUCAAAUGAAUUGACGGGGGCCCGCACAAGCGGUGGAGCAUGUGGUUUAAUUCGAUGCAACGCGAAGAACCUUACCUGGUCUUGACAUCCACAGAAUCUUGCAGAGAUGCGAGAGUGCCUUCGGGAACUGUGAGACAGGUGCUGCAUGGCUGUCGUCAGCUCGUGUUGUGAAAUGUUGGGUUAAGUCCCGCAACGAGCGCAACCCUUAUCCUUUGUUGCCAUCGGUUAGGCCGGGAACUCAAAGGAGACUGCCGUUGAUAAAGCGGAGGAAGGUGGGGACGACGUCAAGUCAUCAUGGCCCUUACGACCAGGGCUA
rnacentral:rRNA from 1 species